GACGGACGCUGGCGGCGUGCUUAACACAUGCAAGUCGAACGGAAAGGCCCUGCUUUUGUGGGGUGCUCGAGUGGCGAACGGGUGAGUAACACGUGAGUAACCUGCCCUUGACUUUGGGAUAACUUCAGGAAACUGGGGCUAAUACCGGAUAGGAGCUCCUGCUGCAUGGUGGGGGUUGGAAAGUUUCGGCGGUUGGGGAUGGACUCGCGGCUUAUCAGCUUGUUGGUGGGGUAGUGGCUUACCAAGGCUUUGACGGGUAGCCGGCCUGAGAGGGUGACCGGCCACAUUGGGACUGAGCUACGGCCCAGACUCCUACGGGAGGCAGCAGUGGGGAAUAUUGCACAAUGGGCUGAAGCCUGAUGCAGCCACGCCGCGUGCGGGAUGACGGCCUUCGGGUUGUAAACCGCUUUCGCCUGUGACGAAGCGUGAGUGACGGUAAUGGGUAAAGAAGCACCGGCUAACUACGUG
rnacentral:rRNA from 1 species